GAAAUGCGAUAAGUAAUGUGAAUUGCAGAAUUCAGUGAAUCAUCGAAUCUUUGAACGCACAUUGCGCCCCCUGGCAUUCCGGGGGGCAUGCCUGUUCGAGCGUCAUUACACCACUCAAGCCUGGCUUGGUAUUGAGCGCCGCGGCCUGCCCUCGCUCCAAUGUCUCCGGCUGAGCCGUCCGUCUCUAAGCGUUGUGAAUAGCGAUCGCUUGCGAGGCCCGGGCGGUUCGACGCCGUUAAACCCCCCAUUUUCUAUGGUUGACCUCGGAUCAGGUAGGGAUACCCGCUGAACUUAAGC
rnacentral:misc_RNA from 1 species